rnacentral:rRNA from 1 species
GACGAACGCUGGCGGCGUGCUUAACACAUGCAAGUCGAGCGGUAAGGCCCUUUCGGGGGUACGACGAGCGGCGAACGGGUGAGUAGCACGUGGGUGACCUGCCCUCAGCUCUGGGAUAAGCCUGGGAAACCGGGUCUAAUACUGGAUAUGACUCCAUGACGCAUGUUGUGGGGUGGAAAGCCUUGUGCGGCUGAGGAUGGGCCCGCGGCCUAUCAGCUUGUUGGUGGGGUGAGGCCUACCAAGGCGACGACGGGUAGCCGGCCUGAGAGGGCGACCGGCCACACUGGGACUGAGACACGGCCCAGACUCCUACGGGAGGCAGCAGUGGGGAAUCUUGCGCAAUGGGCGAAAGCCUGACGCAGCGACGCCGCGUGAGGGAUGACGGCCUGGUGUAACU